CAUUGGGCCAUACAUAAACAGAUCCAUUGAUGGCCACGUUAUCCCCACGUGUCUCUCAAUACCUCCACCGUUUCAUCUUCGAUUUAUCCUGCAACACAUUAGGGUUAAUCUUUGCCUCAAUAUCUCCAACGGGUGACUGAACUCUCUCACGACAGCCGCUAACCCGGCGACUCUAGCGACGAUGGUGACUGAUGGUGGUCUAACCGAAGAUGACCUAGGGCUCCACUGUGAACCCUAUUGGUGGUGGUUUAUCUCCGUCGUUUGCCGGAAUUUACAUCGGUUUGUACGGUGGCUAUGGCUGCGAUUCCGUGUCACGGAAAACAUUCAUCAUUUAUUAAAUGUGGUUGCUAUUGUGGCUGCUGCAAAAGGCCAUUGAAGAUAAACUAGCUGGUUGUAAUUGCCUCAAGUCGGCUUUGAGAAGCCUAAACCCAAAUCCGGCGCUAGCUAAAACACUUCCUGGAAAUUGUGGGAUCAGUUUGGGUUUCACCAUGUCAGCUAACAUUGAUUGCACCAAAUUUGUACUUCUUUUUAUAAAAGGGAGCAUGAGGAACCAAUUGACGAGAAUAAUUACUUUGAAGAAUUAUGCAAGCCCAGGUGUGUUCAAGCUUGGCAUGAGUCUCAGAGGAUAAACAUGAGAAAGGUAAACUGAUCAAAAGAUUUGGAGUUGCUGAUUCUGUUUAAAGAAGUGACGAAAAUGGAUCUUUUAUCACACUUAUUGUGUCAAAUUAAAGAACCGGAAAUUGAUCAUCACAGGUAGAUAACAAACAUUUCAAAACACACUUAUUAUGCAUUACCUGCAGAUGAUAAAACUCCCCCAUCCAAGAAAGGCGAGAACCAUGGCAGCAGCUAGAACAUCAAACACCUAUUUAUCAACAAGAACCAGGAACCAACAUUUUUCUAACAACUGAUGUAUUGUGAAUGCAAAUAUAAAACCCCCAUCCCACUGCCAAGACAAAAAUACCAAACGCUCGCGCACGCACGAUAAGCAGAUCUCCGUGUCCAAGGUUUUGGAAGAUAUAAAAGUUUUGGCGUUUAUGUGCGUCAAAAGCCAAUCAAAGGCUGCUGCUCUCUUUGGGAUAUUUGGUGUAAGUUUAGCUUGGAAUGUCUAAAGUGAUAAGGUGGGAUGUAGUUGUUGUUGUUAGGUUUUGUGGUUGCUGGCUUCUCCAGUUUUGAUGCUACUGUGGUAGUUUUUUUUGUUAGAUGUAAUAGUUAGCUUCCUACAACCUCUUUUGGUUUUGUAAUAAAAAAAUCUGUCGGUUUUAGUUCGA